rnacentral:tRNA from 1 species
UCGUUAGCUCAGCUGGUCAGAGCGCCUGGUUUACACCCAGGAGGUCGGGGGUUCGAGCCCCUCACGA